rnacentral:rRNA from 1 species
GACGAACGCUGGCGGCGUGCUUAACACAUGCAAGUCGAACGGAAAGGCCCUGCUUUUGUGGGGUGCUCGAGUGGCGAACGGGUGAGUAACACGUGAGUAACCUGCCCUUGACUUUGGGAUAACUUCAGGAAACUGGGGCUAAUACCGGAUAGGAGCUCCUGCUGCAUGGUGGGGGUUGGAAAGUUUCGGCGGUUGGGGAUUGACUCGCGGCUUAUCAGCUUGUUGGUGGGGUAGUGGCUGACCAAGCCUUUGACGGGUAGCCGGCCUGAGAGGGUGACCGGCCACAUUGGGCCUGAGAUACGGCCCAGACUCCUACGGGAGGCAGCAGUGGGGAAUAUUGCACAAUGGGCGGAAGCCUGAUGCAGAAACGCCGCGUGCGGGAUGACGGCCUUCGGGUUGUAAACCGCUUUCGCCUGUGACGAAGCGUGAGUGACGGUAAUGGGUAAAGAAGCACCGGCUAACUACGUG